AUUGAACGCUGGCGGCAGGCCUAACACAUGCAAGUCGAGCGGAGCGGGGGACGGGUGAGUGAGGAAUAGGAAGCUUCCUGGUAGUGGGGGAUAACAUACGGAAAAGGGCGGUAAUACAGCAUACUAGCCGAUGAGUCUGGGUCGGAUUAAUUAGUUGGUGGGGUAAAGUCCUACCAAGGCGACGAACCGUAACUGGUCUGAGAGGAUGAUCAGUCACAGUGGAAAUAGGACACUGUCCAGAAUCCUACGGGAGACAGCGGUGAGGAAUAUUGGACAAUGGGCGAAAGCCUGAUCUAGGCAUGCCGGGUGUGUGAAGAAGGUCUUCGGAGUGUAAAGCACUUUAAGUUUGGAGGCGUUACCAACAGAAUAAGCACCGGCUAACUUCGUGCCAGCAGCCGCGGUAAUAC
rnacentral:rRNA from 1 species